UACGGGGGGGGCAAGCGUUGUUCGGAAUUACUGGGCGUAAAGGGCUCGUAGGCGGCCAACUAAGUCAGACGUGAAAUCCCUCGGCUUAACCGGGGAACGGCAUCUGAUACUGGAUGGCUUGAGUUCGGGAGAGGGAUGCGGAAUUCCAGGUGUAGCGGUGAAAUGCGUAGAUAUCUGGAGGAACACCGGUGGCGAAGGCGGCAUCCUGGACCGACACUGACGCUGAGGAGCGAAAGCCAGGGGAGCAAACGGG
rnacentral:rRNA from 1 species